rnacentral:rRNA from 1 species
UACGAAGGGUGCAAGCGUUAAUCGGAAUUACUGGGCGUAAAGGGUGCGUAGGCGGUUAGUUAAGUCUGUUGUGAAAUCCCCGGGCUCAACCUGGGAAUGGCAAUGGAUACUGGCUGGCUAGACGGAUGGAGAGGUCACUGGAAUUCUUGGUGUAGCAGUGAAAUGCGUAGAUAUGCGGAGGAACACCGAUGGCGAAGGCAAUCCCCUGGGCCUGCACUGACGCUCAUGCACGAAAGCGUGGGGAGCAAACAGG